rnacentral:rRNA from 1 species
CACGUAGGGGGCGAGCGUUGUCCGGAUUUAUUGGGCGUAAAGAGCUCGUAGGCGGUUUCGUAAGUCGGAUGUGAAAACUCCAGGCUCAACUUGGAGACGCCAUUCGAUACUGCGAUGACUUGAGUCCGGUAGGGGAGUGUGGAAUUCCUGGUGUAGCGGUGAAAUGCGCAGAUAUCAGGAGGAACACCGGCGGCGAAGGCGGCACUCUGGGCCGGUACUGACGCUGAGAAGCGAAAGCAUGGGGAGCGAACAGG